rnacentral:rRNA from 1 species
AAGCCUAAUACAUGCAAGUCGAGCGAACAGAGAAGGAGCUUGCUCCUUUGACGUUAGCGGCGGACGGGUGAGUAACACGUGGGCAACCUACCUUAUAGUUUGGGAUAACUCCGGGAAACCGGGGCUAAUACCGAAUAAUCUAUUUUACUUCAUGGUGAAAUACUGAAAGACGGUUUCGGCUGUCGCUAUAAGAUGGGCCCGCGGCGCAUUAGCUAGUUGGUGAGUACGGCUC